UCUAUUGUAACAAAAUCCAGCUAGGCCCUCCAAAAAUCCAAUAUUACCACAGCCCGGUCUGGGCAGUUUUCGCCCAGAGGGAUCGGUCUCUCCCCAGCAGGGACCGGUCUCUUGCUGCGAACCCGAAAAACCAGCGUUCGGGAACCGGUCUCUCCCUGCGCGGGACCGGUCUCUCACUGCGUAGACGCGCUCGGAGACCGGUCUCGCCCGCUAGGGACCGGUUGCCUCAAGGCUGCCGCAGUACAGCUCACUGGGGGACCGGUCUCUCCUUCCAGGGACCGGUCCCCGAGAGUAAAAACUCUC
rnacentral:lncRNA from 1 species